AUACGGAGGGUGCAAGCGUUAUUCGGAAUCACUGGGCGUAAAGGACGCGUAGGCGGGUUGGCAAGUCAGAUGUGAAAUCCUACAGCUUAACUGUAGAACUGCAUUUGAAACUGCUAACCUAGAGUAUGGGAGGGGGAGAUGGAAUUAGUGGUGUAGGGGUAAAAUCCGUAGAUAUCACUAGGAAUACCGAAAGCGAAGGCGAACUCCUGGAACAUAACUGACGCUAAGGCGUGAAAGCGUGGGGAGCAAACAGGAUUAGAAACCCUAGUAGUCC
rnacentral:rRNA from 1 species